UUGAAUAUAUUAUCAACUUUUUAAUAUUGUUUGGUUAAAUUCCAUAUUAAUAAAUGCAGAGUAUUGAAAAGAAAUUUACACAGAUUUCUGGAUGAAUUUGAACAAUGUAUAAGCAGUAUUGAGCUUCUAGACUUCCAAAUGUUAUAAAACUGUCAUGCUCUAUAAGGAA